GGAUGCGGCCAUACUAAGGAGAAAGCACCUCAUCCCGUCCGAUCUGAGAAGUUAAGCUCCUUCAGGCGUGGUUAGUACUGGGGUGGGGGACCACCUGGGAAUCCCACGUGCUGCAUUCU
rnacentral:rRNA from 14 species